AACGAACGCUGGCGGCAUGCCUAACACAUGCAAGUCGAACGAGAUCUUCGGGUCUAGUGGCGCACGGGUGCGUAACGCGUGGGAAUCUGCCCUCAGGUUCGGAAUAACCAUUGGAAACGAUGGCUAAUACCGGAUGAUGACGUUAAGUCCAAAGAUUUAUCGCCUGAGGAUGAGCCCGCGUAGGAUUAGCUAGUUGGUGUGGUAAAGGCGCACCAAGGCGACGAUCCUUAGCUGGUCUGAGAGGAUGAUCAGCCACACUGGGACUGAGACACGGCCCAGACUCCUACGGGAGGCAGCAGUGGGGAAUAUUGGACAAUGGGCGAAAGCCUGAUCCAGCAAUGCCGCGUGAGUGAUGAAGGCCUUAGGGUUGUAAAGCUCUUUUACCCGGGAUGAUAAUGACAGUACCGGGAGAAUAAGCUCCGGCUAACUCCGUG
rnacentral:rRNA from 1 species